rnacentral:rRNA from 1 species
UACGUAGGCAGCGAGCGUUGUUCGGAGUUACUGGGCGUAAAGGGUGUGUAGGCGGUUCUUUAAGUUUGGUGUGAAAAUCUCCCCGGCUCAACCGGGAGGGGUGCGCCGAAUACUGAGGGACUAGAGUAUGGGAUGGGAAAGUGGGAAAUUUCCUGGGUGUAGCGGGUGAAAUGCGUAGAUAUCAGGGAGGGAAACACCCUGUGGGUGUAGACGGCUUUCUGGACCAUAAACUGACGCUUUGAGACACGAAGCGUGGGUAGCAAACAGGG